GGGGGGAGCGCCGGAUCCUGGGCUGUGUCACCCUGUGCCCUGGGCUCCAGGGCCUGCACCACUGGGAUCGCACUCCUGGGUUGUGCAGCCCCCU
rnacentral:pre_miRNA from 1 species